ensembl:lncRNA
CAAAAGAAAUGCUGGAGGGCAAUGCAAGGAAUUGGGCAUUCACGACACAGUUGGUGUUACAGCAACACUAUGAGGACAUUAUACAGCACACAUUAGGGAUUUUACGAGGAGAAACACAGAGAACGGACUGGUUACAUGCCUUUGAGAUUGCUGUUAAAUGGGCUAUGCGAAAUUUCGGCAAGAGGAUCUCCCAGAGGGCAAUUCAGCAGGCCGAAACUUUGGUCCUGACCGAAUUGCGCUCUGGGACUCCCUCUGGGUCAAAAGGACCAUCAGCUUCUGGGGCAGAUAACAACAGAACAUUUGCUCAGGUGGUCAGUGGUGUAACUCCAGCCCCAGUCCAGCAGGGGACAGAAAUGAUCAGUACAGAGGUGGUCAGACCUAAAACAGGGGUCACACAUAUCCAGGUACAAACAUCACCCACUUUAAUGUCAGGCUGGUCUCCCAUGAGAAAUGACUGGCUUUUGGGAGAUGAUUUUCCACCUUUGAGCCCCCCUAUACAGGCCCCCGUACAGUCCCCUCGUGGGAAAAGGAAAGAGAAGAAAAAACACCUGACAGAGCAGAGCCAAAAAAAACCAUCAGUCGUUACAGAGCAUUCUGAAAAAAAUCUCCUAGUGGAUUUUGAGGACGAUGAUGAUGAUGAUGAUGAGGAUCAGUUGACUCCUGCACAGGGGAAUAGACUGGAAGAUUUAGAUGAGAUUACAAAUCAUCUGUCACAGGAACUUUUCUCUCCUCUUGCCCCUUCGGAAGCUGACGCCCCGAAGGCCACUGGCCUGCUUUCUUUGUUCCCCAUGGUACCCAGUACAGUGCACACAGUAAAUCCACUAUUGGAUACAACUGAGAGGGCCCAGAUCCUCCAAAGCCCCUCUGUGUCACCAAAUCUUUCAGACUUUGACCUCUCAGUAUAUUCGUUGACAACUCUUCAACCAGAAGCUCCUCAGGAGGUAGAGAGCAGUGAAUCUUCCGAAAAAAUGGAAGAGAAUAUCUCUGAAACAGAUAAAUGCAGAAAAGCAGAAAAAAUCAGUAAAUCAGAUAAAUGCAGAAAAGCAGAAAAAAUCAGUAAAUCAGAUAAAUGCAGAAAAGCAGAAAAAAUCAGUAAAUCAGAUGAAACCACUGUAGCUGACAAUCAGGGUCAAAGGUCAACACAUAAGCCAUACAUGCACCUAAGCACCAACAAAAAAUUCAAUGAGUGGAAAUUAACACUCAAGGAAAAGCAUGUGAUUAUCGGUGACUCUAAUUUGGGCAGAAUCCCCACUUUUGACAUCCAAGAUUUACAGAUUGACAGCUUUCCAGGUGCUAAAUUACAGCACGCUGCCAACUUGAUAGAAAAAGCUACAGUAGGGACCAAGGUAGAAAAAAUAGUCUUGGCAUUUGGCUUGAAUAACCGCACACAAAGACUACGUAUUUCAGCCAUGAGAGAGUGUGCUAGAGUGAGUCAGGUGACACAAGAAAAACUACCGGAUGCCCAAGUGUGGAUCCCCCUGAUAAAUAUUCCUCAAUCUCUCCCAGAAGGAGAAAAAAUCUUUUUAGACGAACUGAACAAUUACAUAGAGGAAAAUUAUUCCUUCAUCCCCCUUCUGCCAGAGGAGCAGUUUCAGGUGGAAAGAGACGGCCUACACUGGACUGCAGAGACAGCCAGGAACAUGUUAGAGCACUGGACACGAUAUUUAAACUUGUAGUGAGUGAACACCCGAGAAAGGGUGCACACAGGCUUGUUGUGAAUCUUUCUAAGCAUUUUAGUAUCUCUC